GACGAACGCUGGCGGCGUGCCUAACACAUGCAAGUCGAGCGAAUGAAGUUCCUUCGGGAAUGGAUUUAGCGGCGGACGGGUGAGUAACACGUGGGCAACCUGCCUCAUAGAGGGGAAUAGCCUUCCGAAAGGGAGAUUAAUACCGCAUAAGAUUGUAGUAUCGCAAGAUACAGCAAUUAAAGGAGCAAUCCGCUAUGAGAUGGGCCGGCGGCGGAUUAGCUAGUUGGUGAGGUAAUGGCUCACAAAGGCGACGAUGCGAAGCCGACCUGAGUGUUUGAUCGGCCACAUUGGGACUGAGACACGGCCCAGACUCCUACGGGAGGCAGCAGUGGGGAAUAUUGCACAAUGGGGGAAACCCUGAUGCAGCAACGCCGCGUGAGUGAUGACGGCCUUCGGGUUGUAAAGCUCUGUCUUCAGGGACGAUAAUGACGGUACCUGAGGAGGAAGCCACGGCUAACUACGUGCCAGCCGCCGCCGUAAUAC
rnacentral:rRNA from 1 species